GGAAGUAAAGUCGUAACAAGGUCUCCGUUGGUGAACCAGCGGAGGGAUCAUUACAGGACUCGCAAGACUCCUUCACCCUGUGAACCUCACUACAAGCACGUUGCUUCGGCGGGUGUCCCGGCGGGGGUUUUCCCUCGCCGGGGCGCACAGCCCGCCGGCAGCCUACUAUACUCUGUCUCUUUGCGUUGGCAUCUCGAGAAAAAACAAACAAGUUAAAACUUUCAACAACGGAUCUCUUGGUUCUG
rnacentral:misc_RNA from 1 species